ACUCACUUUAUCUCACUGAUGAUGGGCGCUAACUAACCGUUGACCUUACCUGCGCAAGGACCGGGAAGUUUAUGACAGCGGCUGUUUACCAACUUUAGGAAUUUCCAGCAGCUCAUAUCACACGGUGGCAGUGGAUGAUGAUUGUGGCCUGGAGUUUAAUGAUGAAACACUCCUGUACCAACUGUUUGAUUUUAAACUGCCAGCUGACUGCCUUGCCAAGCCACUAAACGAAGACGUACGUCUGUAUGUGCCGUUCCGAAAACAUGCACAUUGGACAUUGUCUUAAAGUUGGAGAAACUCUGCAUUCAGAAGAAGGAUUAAUGUACGCGACUGACAGCAAAGACAAAUCCUGAUAACCCAUGGUGAAGCUUUUCCUCAAAGUGCUGAAGGAAGAAACGGGACUGAGCGAACGACUCGGCUGCCUCGUUGCUUCUCUUGGACAGGUACAAAAGGCACACAAAGAGCCUGUUUGCGUUAAGACCCGAGAGGGCUCUCGGUGUCCCCCGACCACCCCGUCCUCCAUCACUGUCCCGCCAUGUCAGCGCAGCUCGCAGUGAAAAGGAGAAACUUUCCCAGCCAGUGCAAGUUCAGCCAACAGUUGGAGUGAUCCUGAGGCUGUCGGAUGUACUUUUAUUUUUGUUUUUUUGUUUUUUUGUUUUUUUUCCCUCAU